AUUGAACGCUGGCGGCAGGCCUAACACAUGCAAGUCGAGCGGAUGAAGGGAGCUUGCUCCUGGAUUCAGCGGCGGAAGGGUGAGUAAAGCCUAGGAAUCUGCCUGGUAGUGGGGGAUAACGACCGGAAACGGGCGCUAAUACCGCAGACGUCCUGAGGGAGCAAGUGGGGGAUCUUCGGACCUCACGCUCUCAGAUGAGCCUAGGUCGGAUUAGCGAGUUGGUGGGGUAAAUGCCUACCAAGGCGAGCAUCCGUAACUGGUCUGAGAGGAUGAUCAGUCACACUGGAACGUAGACACGGUCCAGGCUCCUACGGGAGGCAGCAGUGGGGAAUAUUAGGCAAUGGGCGAGAGCCUGAUCCAGCCAUGCCGCGUGUGUGAAGAAGGUCUUCGGAUUGUAAAGCACUUUUAGUUGGUAGGAAGCGCAGUAAGUUAAUACCUUGCGGUUUUGACGUUACCGACAGAAUAAGCACCGGCUAACUUCGUG
rnacentral:rRNA from 1 species